UAACUUAAAUGAGGUAAAAUGUUUGUUUCUAAAGUAUUCAAUUCAAAGUGUUAGGUAACAUACCAAUCAAAUAUAGAGAGCCCGUUCUCUUAGCGUUUCAGCACACCCCCCUGCAGCCCCUUCCCCACUGGGUUACAGGCUGAGAAGGCCUACUGCCUACCAUCCUCAGCUUUCAUCUUUUUCCAGGACGUGGUUUGUUAAAAGUACUGAAAUCACGCCAUUUGAACUCUGACCACUGGUAGCACUGCAAAGGGGUGCCCCUUCCUCAGCCGGUGACAUUCGGGUGGGUCCUGCCAGAUAUUAGCUGUCAUUGUCUACUUAUUCUAGUUUCGUGAUCCUGAGUUCGGGGAAUGGUUUGGCUAUCUGAACCGAGAGGGAAAGGUGGCCCUCACCAUCAAGGGAGGUCCGUUUAAAGGCUGCUUCCAUGUGUCACGGUGCCUGGCCAUGUGUGAGCAGAUUCUGGAAGCCCUGCUCCGUCGCCUCGGACCCACCCCCGUCCCCAGCCUCGGAGGCUCCAAAUAAAUCUGAUCCUGUUCCA